GCGCUGGUGGUGGAACUGGUAGACACGCUAUCUUGAGGGGGUAGUGAGGAAACUCGUGCGAGUUCGAGUCUCGCUCAGCGCACCA
rnacentral:tRNA from 3 species